rnacentral:rRNA from 1 species
GAUGAACGCUGGCGGCGUGCCUAAUACAUGCAAGUCGAGCGAACAGACGAGGAGCUUGCUCCUCUGACGUUAGCGGCGGACGGGUGAGUAACACGUGGAUAACCUACCUAUAAGACUGGGAUAACUUCGGGAAACCGGAGCUAAUACCGGAUAAUAUAUUGAACCGCAUGGUGCAAUAGUGAAAGACGGUUUUGCUGCCACUUAUAGAUGAAUCCGCGCCGCAUUAGCUAGUUGGUAAGGUAACGGCUUACCAAGGCAACGAUGCGUAGCCGACCUGAGAGGGUGAUCGGCCACACUGGAACUGAGACACGGUCCAGACUCCUACGGGAGGCAGCAGUAGGGAAUCUUCCGCAAUGGGCGAAAGCUUGACGGAGCAACGCCGCGUGAGUGAUGAAGGUCUUCGGAUCGUAAAACUCUGUUAUUAGGGAGGAACAAAUGUGUAAGUAACUAUGCACGUCUUGACGGUACCUAAUCAGAAAGCCACGGCUAACUACGUG